UACGUAGGGGGCAAGCGUUGUCCGGAAUUAUUGGGCGUAAAGAGCUCGUAGGCGGUUUGUUGCGUCGGGUGUGAAAUCCCGAGGCUCAACCUCGGGUCUGCAGUCGAUACGAGCAAACUAGAGUGUUGCAGGGGAGACUGGAAUUCCUGGUGUAGCGGUGAAAUGCGCAGAUAUCAGGAGGAACACCGGUGGCGAAGGCGGGUCUCUGGGCAACAACUGACGCUGAGGAGCGAAAGCGUGGGGAGCGAACAGG
rnacentral:rRNA from 1 species